rnacentral:rRNA from 1 species
GUGAGUAACGCGUGGGUAACGUACCCUGAUCCUGGGAAUAACCCUCGGAAACGAGGGCUAAUACCGAAUGUGGCGAACGACCGGUUGGUCGCUCGCUAAAGGUGGCCUCUUCUAUGCUGCCGGGUUGGGAUCGGCCCGCGUCCCAUUAGCUAGUUGGUGAGGUAACGGCUCACCAAGGCCACGAUGGGUAGCCGGCCUGAGAGGGUGUACGGCCACACUGGCACUGAGACAAGGGCCAGUCCCCUAUGGGAGGCGCAGGCGGGAAUAGUUCACAAUGGGCGAAAGCCUGAUGACGCGACGCCGCGUGAGCGAAGAAGACCUUCGGGUUGUAAAGCUCUGUCAGGAGGGAAGAAGGCUCUACGGGUCAAUAGCCCGUGGGAUUGACGGUACCUCCAGAGGAAGCCCCGGCUAAAUACGUGCCAGCAGCCGCGGUAAUACGUAUGGGGCAAGCGUUGUCCGGAUUUACUGGGCGUAAAGGGCGCGUAGGCGGUUUGUUAAGUCGAAGGUGAAAUCCUCGGGCUCAACUCGAGAAUUGCCUUCGAUACUGGCAAACUAGAGUGGCGGAGAGGAAAGCGGAACUCUUGGUGUAACGGUGGAAUGUGUAGAUAUCAAGAGGAACACCGGUGGCGAAGGCGGCUUUCUGGACGCACACUGACGCUCAGGCGCGAAAGCGUGGGUAGCAAACAGGAUUAGAUACCCUGGUAGUCCACGCCAUAAACGAUGGGUACUAGGUGUCGGGGGUAUCGACCCCUCCGGUGCCGCAGUUAACGCACUAAGUACGCCGCCUGGGGAUUAUGGUCGCAAGGCUGAAACUCAAAGGAAUUGACGGGGCGCCGCACAAGCGGUGGAGCAUGUGGUUUAAUUCGACGCAACGCGAAGAACCUUACCUGGGCUUGACAUGCUUGGGACAGCGCUGGAAACAGCGUCUCUCCUUCGGGAGCCCUCGCACAGGUGCUGCAUGGCUGUCGUCAGCUCGUGUCGUGAGAUGUUGGGUUAAGUCCCGCAACGAGCGCAACCCUCGUUACUAGUUGCCAUCAGUUCGGCUGGGCACUCUAGUGAGACUGCCGGUGAUAAUCCGGAGGAAGGUGAGGAUGAUGUCAAGUCAUCAUGGCCCUUACGCCCAGGGCUACACACGUGCUACAAUGGUCGGCACAAAGGGUCGC